rnacentral:rRNA from 1 species
GAUGAACGCUGGCGGCGCGCCUAAUACAUGCAAGUCGAGCGAACAGACGAGGAGCUUGCUCCUCUGACGUUAGCGGCGGACGGGUGAGUAACACGUGGAUAACCUACCUAUAAGACUGGGAUAACUUCGGGAAACCGGAGCUAAUACCGGAUAAUAUAUUGAACCGCAUGGUUCAAUAGUGAAAGACGGUUUUGCUGUCACUUAUAGAUGGAUCCGCGCCGCAUUAGUUAGUUGGUAAGGUAACGGCUUACCAAGGCAACGAUGCGUAGCCGACCUGAGAGGGUGAUCGGCCACACUGGAACUGAGACACGGUCCAGACUCCUACGGGAGGCAGCAGUAGGGAAUCUUCCGCAAUGGGCGAAAGCCUGACGGAGCAACGCCGCGUGAGUGAUGAAGGUCUUCGGAUCGUAAAACUCUGUUAUUAGGGAAGAACAAAUGUGUAAGUAACUAUGCACGUCUUGACGGUACCUAAUCAGAAAGCCACGGCUAACUACGUG